UACGGAGGGUGCAAGCGUUUAUCCGGAUUCACUGGGCGUAAAGGGUGCGUAGGCGGCGCGGAAAGUCAGGGGUGAAAUCCCGGAGCUCAACUCCGGAACUGCCUUUGAUACUCCCGCGCUUGAGAACUGGAGGGGAGAUCGGAAUUCACGGUGGAGCAGUGAAAUGCGUGGAUAUCGUGAGGAACACUAGUGGCGAAGGCGGAUCUCUGGACAGUAUCUGACGCUGAGGCACGAAGGCCAGGGGAGCGAACGGG
rnacentral:rRNA from 1 species